rnacentral:snRNA from 1 species
GGAUAUGAGGGCGAUCCGGCUGUGACAUCUGUCACCCCAUUGAUCGCCAGGGUUGAUUUGGCUGAUCUGGCUGGCUAGGCGGGUGUUCCCUUCCUCCCUCAACGAUCCAUGUGUGUCCCUCCCGAAGCUGCACGCUUGGUUGAAGAGGACGAUGACCCCCGUUCUGCCGUCAAGGGUAUACGAGUAGCUGCGCUCCCCUGCUAGAACCUCCAAACAAGUGCUCAAGGACUGUACAUAUACCAUAAGCAGUAGUGGCCAACCUAGGGCAGGUGUGCCAUAG